UACGAAGGGGGCUAGCGUUGCUCGGAAUUACUGGGCGUAAAGGGCGCGUAGGCGGAUACUUAAGUCGGGGGUGAAAGCCCAGGGCUCAACCCUGGAACAGCCUUCGAUACUGGGUAUCUUGAGUCCGGGAGAGGUGAGUGGAACUCCGAGUGUAGAGGUGAAAUUCGUAGAUAUUCGGAAGAACACCAGUGGCGAAGGCGGCUCACUGGCCCGGUACUGACGCUGAGGUGCGAAAGCGUGGGGAGCAAACAGG
rnacentral:rRNA from 1 species